AUAGUAGUGUGUGAACGCUAUUGAAGGGCGGGUCUUGGCGUGGCCAUAGUGGGAUUCGUAAUAUCGCGGCCCGGGCGGUCUGGCCAUGGAUGUGGGAACUGGCUUGUCAGGCUCACAGGUCAGGCUUGUACUUCAAUGCAAUGUCAAGCGUUAUGACAGAUGGUUGAAAGCUCUACAAUCAUCUCUGAAAUCAAUGGUCUCUGAACGAGGAGAAGAGGGAGGAAGCAUUACACAUUAUGAUCUAUCAGAUAGCCAAAGGUAUAACUUAUUCAAUUGUUUUUUUCACUAAUGUCAACUAGACAAAUCCAUGUACUUUUAUUUCACAUAAAUGGUAAGGUUCCUGUCAUUAUGGUUAUUCUUUUGCUUUUAUUACGAUAAUGUCCUGAAUGGAUGACACCUACUGUAUGUAUGGCGUGAUGUCGUCUUCUGUCCAUUUCUCUCGGAGUGUGAAGAGGUGGUUGAAGCGCUCCAGCGUGUCUUCUGAGAGAUCCUCCACCCGCAGCAGGGAGAUGGUCUCUGGACGGAAGUUGCGGUCCACCAGGGCGACACUCUGGAAGAUUUACACCGCUGUCAGCACUGCAGCCAGUUUCUCAAGAGGAGUCAUGGUGCUAACUCUUCCAGACUGGUUUGAAGGGGAACCUUGUUGAAGGACCAGGACUCCGAAUCUACCAGCUGAGUCACAUGACCGAGCAACUUCAUCUCGUAGUCGAAGUCCAACAUGCGCCAGUAGCCUAGAAGACAGAAACAAUGCUCUCUCUAAACACCUGGCAUGGAUGGUCUCUAAGUGGGUCUUUAGCUCCUCUUCACUGGCCUGGAUCCUCUCCAACAGAUCCUGCAUUGUGUACUGGUAACAGAGGAACACAUACUUACUAACAGCUACAAUGACAUUUAA